rnacentral:rRNA from 1 species
UACGUAGGUGGCAAGCGUUGUCCGGAAUUACUGGGCGUAAAGGGCGCGUAGGCGGCUAGGCAAGUCAGGUGUGAAAGCCCCGGGCUUAACCCGGGAAUUGCAUCUGAAACUGCUGUGCUUGAGUUCUGGAGGGGGUAGUGGAAUUCCCAGUGUAGCGGUGAAAUGCGUAGAUAUUGGGAGGAACACCUGCGGCGAAGGCGGCUACCUGGACAGAAACUGACGCUGAGGCGCGAAAGCUAGGGGAGCGAACGGG